UGCGCACCGCAGCGCAGCGCAGCGGCCGGGGGGUGCGGGCGCCCUCGCCGCCCAGCUACCUACCGCCGCCGCUGCCUCCCUUCCCCGCUUCUACCCUCCAGCAGACUCCCGCCGGGGCGACCCCUCCCAGGGUGACCAGGGGGAGGUGUUCCACGUGGCCAUAGCGUUUGCGUCACAAUGACCUGGCGGACAGGUGGGAGCCACGGCGUACACCCCAGGGUUCCCUCUGUGCUGUGCGUAGUGCCUGCUGCUUGCUUUCAGGUUAAAUUUCUGUAGCUUUAGAGGACAGGAGACUUCAUGACUUCAAUGCCAAGAAAAGUUACAGAGGCCUGCUGUACCUGGAAAUCAAGUUUGAGCUUCAAGAAUAAAGGCCAUGUUUUAAAAACAGCUGUAACACCAGUAAAGUGCUAGUGAGAACCCGAAACAGUUUCUAAGGAGAAUGGCUAUUGAAUGAUGGGAUCAGAAAUUAGGAGAGAAAUAAAGACCCUGGGCCAGGGAAAGAAAUGAAUGAAGAUGCCACCUUAUGCCCAGAACGCUUCUCUCAUUCAAUGAUAAAGGCUUUGUGGUUGGGUCAACUUUUGUUAUGCUCAACUCUUUCCUUCGUAAGGAUGGGCUCUUUCCUCAGGAGGCUUUUGUACUCCCAAUUAACGCAUUGCUAAUCUGAUGAAGCUCUAUUUUGUAGCUAUGCCAUCUGGAUCAUAUAGCCUCCAAGGCCAGCAGAGCAGAGGAAGACAAAGGGCAGAGCAAGAUCGAGGUGGAAGUUACACGUCCUUUGUGCUUACUUUCUACCGGCCUCAUUGGGUCGCACGAUCCCACUCCAACAGGGGCAUGGGGGCUUGGAAAAUUGGAAAAACAUGUGAAUAUUUGCAAUGCUUUCAGUAACCUGGAGAGGUACACAUGGCUGGUAUAACAAUUAUCUUCAUUUAAUGAUGUGGAAACACCUACCGCAAGCCCUGGAACAUGGAGGGUCUUGAAUAAAUUCUGUCAGAUGAAUGGACAAGUGCACAAAAGGUUGAAGGAGUGAAUGAGGCAGGCACAAUUGUGAUACUCAACGAGAGCAGUGCGAAGUGCCACUUUACAGCCAAACAUUCAAUUCCUCUUAAUUCACAAGGGAGAGAAGGAUCAAGUUGUGCAGCUGGGAGGUGAUGUUUCUUCCCAGCAGCUGUCAUUGAGGAGACACGUGCAAACCAUAGAAGUCAUUUGUCACAAGAACCCCAUCCAGAAUUUGCUAUGUGCGUCUCACUUGCUAACGUGACAUGAAAUACUGAAGCUUUCAAAAUCAAGUACACAGACUUUGUUGUGUUGACAUGGGCAAAAUGAAAUGAAGAGCUGAGGCAAUUAUGUGGAUAAAUCAGGCCAAAAAUAUCCAACCAUUGAGAGAAAAAGUUCCUUUGGCUCAAAUUAUUCGGAGUGACUGUCCAUGUUCAUCAGUUUAUCAGGAUAAUGAAUUUUAUCCUAUGCUUUGUCACUAUAGAUAUAUCUUUAGUCUAUGAAUUUGAAUGACUUUGUGAUAUUUUACUUCACUGAAAAUUAUAAUAGGGGUUGAAUGAGCAAGCACCAUGUUAAAAGAUUGCUACUGCAGCUAUAAUAAUAGUCCAAGAGAAUUUAAACCCCGUUAUUCAAUAGCUAGCAGAUAUGGUUAUUGGAAUGGGGGUAGAGAGGGAGACACGAAAUCUGUUGAGAAUCAAAUUCUUGUAACUAAUCUGUCUUUCCCAUUUAGCAUCCUAUUAUCCAAAAAUAUCUUGGUCUGUAGCUCCCGGCUGGUUUCCUGGUCAUUUGACAACUGGUUAAAUGAGCCUGAAAAUUUCAUCAGGUUUCAUAUAAAGAAUAAUAUAU
rnacentral:antisense_RNA from 1 species